rnacentral:rRNA from 1 species
GAGAGGGAGCCUGAGAAACGGCUACCACAUCCAAGGAAGGCAGCAGGCGCGCAAAUUACCCACUCCCGGCACGGGGAGGUAGUGACGAAAAAUAACGAUACGGGACUCAUCCGAGGCCCCGUAAUCGGAAUGAGUACACUCUAAACCCUUUAACGAGGAUCAAUUGGAGGGCAAGUCUGGUGCCAGCCGCCGCGGUAAUUCCAGCUCCAAUAGCGUAUAUUAAAGUUGUUGCGGUUAAAAAGCUCGUAGUCGAAUCUGUGUCCCGCGCUGCCGGUUCAUCGCUCGCGGUGUCUGACUGGCGUGUUCGCGGGACGUCCUGCCGAUGGUGCCGUGCGGGGCGCCGGUGCGGCUUCGUCCCAGGUGGUCGUUGUCCGUGUCGUGCGUUUCCGUGCGGCCCAACUCUAAAAUCCCGCAUCGGUGCUCUUGACUGAGUGUCGAGGCGGGCCGGCACGUUUACUUUGAACAAAUUAGAGUGCUCAAAGCAGGCUAAAACUUCGCCUGAAUACAAGUGCAUGGAAUAAUGGAAUAGGACCUCGGUUCUAUUUUGUUGGUUUUCGGAACCCCGAGGUAAUGAUUAAUAGGAACGGAUGGGGGCAUUCGUAUUGCGACGUUAGAGGUGAAAUUCUUGGAUCGUCGCAAGACGGACAGAAGCGAAAGCAUUUGCCAAAAACGUUUUCAUUGAUCAAGAACGAAAGUUAGAGGCUCGAAGGCGAUCAGAUACCGCCCUAGUUCUAACCAUAAACGAUGCCAGCUAGCGAUCCGCCGACGUUCCUCCGAUGACUCGGCGGGCAGCUUCCGGGAAACCAAAGCUUUCGGGUUCCGGGGGAAGUAUGGUUGCAAAGCUGAAACUUAAAGGAAUUGACGGAAGGGCACCACCAGGAGUGGAGCCUGCGGCUUAAUUUGACUCAACACGGGAAACCUCACCAGGCCCGGACACCGGAAGGAUUGACAGAUUGAGAGCUCUUUCUUGAUUCGGUGGGUGAUGGUGCAUGGCCGUUCUUAGUUGGUGGAGCGAUUUGUCUGGUUAAUUCCGAUAACGAACGAGACUCUGGCCUGCUAACUAGGCGCAUUUUCGGCAUCUCGAAGGCCCGCCGGCCGGUCGCUCGCGGCUCGGUCCGGCGCGGUUUUUACUGCCGGCGUACAGUUCAUUCUUCUUAGAGGGACAGGCGGCAUCUAGCCGCACGAGAUUGAGCAAUAACAGGUCUGUGAUGCC